AUAAGUUACUAAGAGCAUAUGGUGGAUGCCUAGGCUCUCAGAGGCGAAGAAGGACGUGAUAAGCUGCGAUAAGCUACGGGGAGAUGCAAAUAAUUUUUGAUCCGUAGAUUUCCGAAUGGGGCAACCUGGCUGGUUGAAGAUCAGUCGUCCGUUUCGGCGGAAGCUAACCCGGGGAACUGAAACAUCUAAGUACCUGGAGGAAGAGAAAACAAUAGUGAUUUUCGGAGUAGCGGCGAGCGAAACGGAAAUAGCCCAAACCAAUUUUGUUUCGGCAGAAUUGGGGUUGUAGGACUGAAUAAAGGACUUAAAUAUUAUAGUGGAAUAAUCUGGAAAGAUUAACCAAAGGGGGUGAUAGUCCCGUACACGAAAUAGUAUUUAUACCUGUCAGUAUCCUGAGUAGGGCGGGACAUGUGAAAUCCUGUCUGAAUCUGGCGGAACCAUCCGCUAAGGCUAAAUACUCCUGAGAGACCGAUAGUGAACAAGUACCGUGAGGGAAAGGUGAAAAGUACCUUGAAUAAAGGAGUGAAAGAGAACCUGAAACCAUAUGCUUACAAGCGGUCGGAGCCUUUAGGGGUGACGGCGUGCCUUUUGCAUAAUGAGCCUACGAGUUACUCCUCGUUAGCGAGGUUAAGUAUUUAAGAUACGGAGCCGAAGCGAAAGCAAGUCUGAAUAGGGCGUUAAGUUAGCGGGGGUAGACGCGAAACCGUGUGAUCUACCCAUGAUCAGGUUGAAGCCCCGGUAAAACGGGGUGGAGGACCGAACCAGUUGACGUUGAAAAGUCUUUGGAUGAAUUGUGGGUAGGGGUGAAAGGCCAAUCAAACUCGGAAAUAGCUCGUACUCCCCGAAAUGCAUUUAGGUGCAGCGUUGAGAUAUGAGUGUCAUAGAGGUAGAGCUACUGAUAGGGCUAGGGGGCUUCACCGCCUACCAAACCCUGACAAACUCCGAAUGCUAUGACAUAUUCUCAGCAGUGAGGGCAUGGGUGCUAAGGUCCAUGUCCGAGAGGGAAAGAACCCAGACCAUCAGCUAAGGUCCCCAAGUGUAUAUUAAGUUGAACAAACGAGGUCUGAUUGCUUAGACAGCUAGGAUGUUGGCUUGGAAGCAGCCAUUCAUUUAAAGAGUGCGUAACAGCUCACUAGUCGAGUGAUCGUGCGUGGAUAAUAAUCGGGCAUAAGCACAUUACCGAAGCUAUGGAUUUAUGGUAGGGGAGCAUUCUGUACUGCGUUGAAUGUACACUGUGAGGUGUACUGGAGUGUACAGAAAAGCAAAUGUAGGCAUAAGUAACGAUAAAGCGGGCGAGAAACCCGCUCACCAGAAGACUAAGGAUUCCUCAGCUAUGCUAAUCAGCUGAGGGUUAGUCGGGACCUAAGGAGAAUCCGAAAGGAGUAUUCGAUGGCAAACAGGUUAAUAUUCCUGUACCAGUUAAUAUUGUGAUGGGGUGACGGAGAAGUGACCGGCCUGCGCACUGACGGAAUAGUGCGUUAAAGGGUGUAGACGUUGAUUCAGUAGGCAAAUCCGCUGAUGAGUUGAACCUGAUAGUACCGAGCGUCUAUUAGACAAUCGGAUAUGGCCCUAAACAUGCUUCCAAGAAAAACCUCUAAACUUCAGGUAUUAACUGCCCGUACCCUAAACCGACACAGGUAGUCAAGAUGAGAAAUCUAAGGUGCUCGAGUGAUUCAUGGCUAAGGAACUAGGCAAAAUGGUCUCGUAACUUCGGGAGAAGAGACGCCACGUCUUCGGAUGUGGCCGCAGUGAAUAGGCCCAGGCGACUGUUUAUCAAAAACACAGGACUCUGCGAAAUUGAAAGAUGAAGUAUAGGGUCUGACACCUGCCCGGUGCCGGAAGGUUAAGAGGAGGAGUUAUCUUCGGAGAAGCUCUGAAUUGAAGCCCCGGUAAACGGCGGCCGUAACUAUAACGGUCCUAAGGUAGCGAAAUUCCUUGUCGGGUAAGUUCCGACCUGCACGAAUGGUGUAACGAUCUGGGCACUGUCUCAGCCAUGAGCUCGGUGAAAUUGUAGUAUCGGUGAAGAUGCCGAUUACCCGCAACGGGACGGAAAGACCCCGUGAACCUUUACUAUAGCUUCACAUUGCUAUUGGAUAAUUCAUGUGUAGGAUAGGUGGGAGACUUUGAUCUUGCGUCGCUAGGCGUAAGUUAGUCGUUGUUGAAAUACCACCCUUGGAUUAUUUGAUAUCUAAUCCCGGACAUCCGGGAGACAUUGUGUGGUGGGUAGUUUGACUGGGGUGGUCGCCUCCAAAAGAGUAACGGAGGCUUCUAAAGGUACCCUCAGCACGCUUGGUAACCGUGCGCAGAGUAUAAUGGCAUAAGGGUGCUUGACUGGGAGACUUACAAGUCGAUCAGGUACGAAAGUAGAGCAUAGUGAUCCGGUAGUUCCGUAUGGAAGGGCUAUCGCUCAAAGGAUAAAAGGUACUCCGGGGAUAACAGGCUGAUCACUCCCAAGAGCUCAUAUCGACGGAGUGGUUUGGCACCUCGAUGUCGGCUCGUCACAUCCUGGGGCUGGAGAAGGUCCCAAGGGUUGGGCUGUUCGCCCAUUAAAGUGGCACGCGAGCUGGGUUCAGAACGUCGUGAGACAGUUCGGUCCCUAUCUGUUGUGGGCGUUAGAUAUUUGAGAGGACCUUCCUCUAGUACGAGAGGACCGGGGAGGACGAACCUCUGGUGUACCUGUUGUGGCGCCAGCUGCAUUGCAGGGUAGCUAUGUUCGGAUGAGAUAAGCGCUGAAAGCAUCUAAGCACGAAACUCGCCUCAAGAUGAGAUAUCUUUUAAGGGUCGUUGAAGACGACAACGUUGAUAGGUCACAGGUGUAAAGACGGUAACGUCAAAGCCGAGUGAUACUAAUUACCCGUAGACUUAUAAU
rnacentral:rRNA from 1 species